rnacentral:rRNA from 1 species
GACGUAGGGGGCGAGCGUUGUCCGGAUUCAUUGGGCGUAAAGAGCACGCAGGCGGUUUGGCAAGUCUGAUGUGAAAACCCGAGGCUCAACUUCGGGCCUGCAGCCGAAACUGCCCGACUAGAGGUAGGUAGGGGAGAUCGGAAUUCCUGGUGUAGCGGUGAAAUGCGCAGAUAUCAGGAGGAACACCGGUGGCGAAGGCGGAUCUCUGGGCCUUACCUGACGCUCAGGUGCGAAAGCUAGGGGAGCGAACAGG